rnacentral:rRNA from 1 species
GAACGGCAGCACAGAGGAGCUUGCUCUUUGGGUGGCGAGUGGCGGACGGGUGAGGAAUACAUCGGAAUCUACUCUGUCGUGGGGGAUAACGUAGGGAAACUUACGCUAAUACCGCAUACGACCUACGGGUGAAAGCAGGGGAUCUUCGGACCUUGCGCGAUUGAAUGAGCCGAUGUCGGAUUAGCUAGUUGGCGGGGUAAAGGCCCACCAAGGCGACGAUCCGUAGCUGGUCUGAGAGGAUGAUCAGCCACACUGGAACUGAGACACGGUCCAGACUCCUACGGGAGGCAGCAGUGGGGAAUAUUGGACAAUGGGCGCAAGCUGAUUCCAGCCAUACCGCGUGGGUGAAGAAGGCCUUCGGGUUGUAAAGCCCUUUUGUUUGGGAAAGAAAUCCAGCUGGCUAAUACCC